rnacentral:rRNA from 1 species
ACAAAUUAGAGUGCUUAAAGCAGGCAAGCCCGCCUGAAUACUGUGUGCAUGGAAUAAUGGAAUAGGACCUCGGUUCUAUUUUGUUGGUUUUCGGAACCCGAGGUAAUGAUUAAUAGAGACAGGCGGGGGCAUUCGUAUUGCGACGUUAGAGGUGAAAUUCUUGGAUCGUCGCAAGACGAACAGAAGCGAAAGCAUUUGCCAAGUAUGUUUUCAUUAAUCAAGAACGAAAGUUAGAGGUUCGAAGGCGAUCAGAUACCGCCCUAGUUCUAACCAUAAACAAUGCCUGCCAGCGAUCCGCCGCAGUUCCUCCGAUGACUCGGCGGGCAGCCUCCGGGAAACCAAAGCUUUUGGGUUCCGGGGGAAGUAUGGUUGCAAAGCUGAAACUUAAAGGAAUUGACGGAAGGGCACCACCAGGAGUGGAGCCUGCGGCUUAAUUUGACUCAACACGGGAAACCUCACCAGGCCCGGACACCGGAAGGAUUGACAGAUUGAUAGCUCUUUCUUGAUUCGGUGGGUGGUGGUGCAUGGCCGUUCUUAGUUGGUGGAGCGA